rfam:Gemmatimonadetes bacterium GWC2_71_9 gwc2_scaffold_23680, whole genome shotgun sequence.
AGGUCCGUAGCUCAAUUGGUAGAGCACCGGUCUCCAAAACCGGGGGUUGGGGGUUCGAUUCCCUCCGGGCCUG